rnacentral:sRNA from 1 species
AUCCGGGCCACAUGGACAAAAGCCAAGAGAAAGGAACAACAUUUUAAUAGUUCCGAUAUUGCGACUACGGAGAACUCCUGUAAACUACUAUUAUUGGUGUCACUUGAGUAGAGCAAAAACUUCAAGGAAUAUCUACCCACCCACACAGGUCUAGGCAAUGGAGUAAGCUAGUAAAUGGCGUCCAAGCAGAGACAUCUCCCAGUUCGGGACAUUACCAUGCCCAACACAACUGAAUGGAGGUGUUGAUAUGGCCUGGCAUCGACGACGCACCCUGGAGGACGAGUCUGUGCCGCCUUCACAUGCUUCAUCUUCCUUUGUUUCGCCUGUCACCUGCGGCCAAGGGUUUUAAAUUUAAGCGGACUUGUGGGCGAUCGCAGCCACUCGAUUUCCGCCAAGUGCCAGAUGGAAAAUGCGAAAUGGGAAAUGGAAAAUGGCAACGGGAAAGAAGGCUCCCCUGUGCCAAAUCUUCCUUUUUAGCCAAAAUCCUGGCCACGAUGCUGCCAAUUGCCAAUUGCAAAUCGCCAAUCGCCAUGCAAACAAAGGCAACAAAAGCUAGUUAAUUGGGUAAAAUGUUCGGCGGAAAUUGAAAGCAAAAGCAAAGCAACACGCAUGGGCGGCGAAAAAGGGGCGGCAGGGGUCAAACGAGCAGGCGAAAUGCAAUAAAUAUCUAAAUUUCCCCUGUUGCCAGCCAGGCCAUUAUUUAUCGAUUUAUGCAAAUUUGCAGCGGACAUUUUAUCAAUAAACAAUAAUAAAUUAAAAUCAACAAUCAGUGGACUAAACAAUCGCAUCGUCGUCUCUUUUCCGCAUAACGCACUCUCUCUUUCUCUGCCGCUUUUUCGGGUGGGCGGGGCGGCGGGCGUUGUGGUCACUGUCCAAAUUGAAAACGAAAUUUAUAAAUGCAAAUUGUCAACGCCACCGAAAGCCAGCAGAAGAGCCAAAAAUGCAUAGCAUUUUUCCACAAACAUAUAUCCGGAUAAGUACUUACGAUGCAUGCACACAUACAUGUGACAUGUGCAUACCUAUGUACGUAUGCAUGUGCAAUGAAUGUAUGUAUGUUUAUCCGACGUGUAUGCACCACCGACUGACUAUAUGGACAAAAAUGUGUGUUGCUCGCAAUCAAAAAUGAAAGCUGCGAGAAGGGAAAACGAGCACAAAGAUACCCAGAUACCCAGAGAAUGCCAGGUCAGGUUCUUUUCGGCAGUAGGAACAUCCGCUGGCCAGUGCGAAAUUCGAUUGCGAGAUGAAAAUCCUUGCCCUGCGGGGUCAAAUAAUUACUAUGCCUAGAGAUGUGUGCACACUGUUUCAAAAGCGCUGCCAGCUGCUUACCCUGCGGGCAUGCACACACUGGUGCAGCUGGGAAAGAAGUGUUUUCGCAAAAUUUUAAUUUGAAUUUUAUUAUCAGCCAUCAGCCGUGGUGGAUGGAUUUACAAUGCAAUUAGCAUUGCUCUGGAUCCAAAUGCUGCGAAGCAGAGUUAAUGCAAUCGAAAAAGUGCAAUUUGAAUUUAAAACGAAUCGAUAGGGUGGCCAUAACAUUUAUAAGUUUAGCACAGAAGGCUUGUAUUUCAAGAAGAUACACAUAGUGGAUGUUGCUACUGGGGACCGGGGAUCUUAUGGAGCUAACGUUUUUGGCCACCUCCUGGACACCAUCCGCAUCCUGGCGCUCACCUGGCUCGUACCACUCACCACCCCACGCUGCACGCCCCUCAGCUCCUGGAGCGUGACCACCUCUGACCGGAGCUAUUUUUGCAUACUUUUGUGCGACGCGCAAACAAUUUGCAUUUUCCAUUUUCCAUUUCAGCGUCAAAUGAAAUGCGCCCGACUGGCCGGGAGUUCCGUUGCGAAGUUGCGACCCCUCGUGCGGAUGCUCCCCUCUCCUCGCUGCAGUGGCCCACUCCAGCAACCCACCAGGAGCUGCACCGAUGAUUUAUUGCACUUUCGACGCUAUUGAUAUUUUAUUUGUUUGCGAUGAAGUCAUUUAGUGCGGGCCACACGCGUUUGGAAACUUUGUACACGGUGUGCAUGGUGGGAGAAAAUGCACAGAAAAGGAAUAAUCUCGUGUCAUAUUGUCAUCCAGUAUUGCCCUUAAUCCACGCCCUUAUGCACCAUCUUCAACCAUCUCGCCUCAAAUGAACGUCUUAAUUAUGGCGUUGACCAUGCGUACAUAUACAUAUACAUACGAGUACGAGAUUGCUCUGGCUCUGGGCGUCUAUGAGAAAUAUUUAAAUACUUUUCGAGUCGACACCAGGGGACAAGGCGUUCCGCCCGCUGAAGCUUAACUAACGCAUAAUUUAACUGAAAGCUGUCUUCAAGUUGGCGCACAAAGACCUCCAAGGACUCGGAGAGCCUGAGACUUGGUUUUUUUCCUGGUCCUGGAACUGUUAAAUGCCAGCCAGGGGCGGCCGAGAUGUGAGAUGUGCUGUACGGGGGUUUUCAAUCCGACACGACUUGAGACAAGUGCCCCACGGCCCCUCUCGCUUUUAUCCUUUUUUUCUCUGCUCUCUACUUAGGUGUCGUGCAGCUGGUCCACACACAUACACAUAUACAUGUAUGUGGCAUGCAUACAUACAUGCGUUUGUAUGCAUGUGUGUAUAUCUGUGUAGUUUCGUGAGCUAUUUGCACUGGCAGCUAUUUGGCAGCAAACGCCGCACAUAGACACUCGGCACGAGGCAUUUGGUGGAAAAGUGAAAAGACGAGGGCCAUUUGGACACUUUCCGGGCCAAGAGCUCGGCACAAAUGCAUUUGCUUAUUAAGCCCGCUCUGUCUCUGUUUAAGUUUAUAUUUAAAUUAUAUUCGGAGGCACAACAGGGCGCUUUCACGAGAAGUGCAAGCGAGCGAGCCAAGUGAGCCACAGUAAAAGGUGCCAAAGCAGGGCGUGACCUCUGACACAAUGCCAUUGCGAUUCCGGGAUCCUCGGACGGGAGCCUAAUUCGACCGCAGCUACAGCGAAAAGCAAUUAAAGCUGGACAACUACUUGCCAGGAGUCCGCCCAAAAGAGCCCCAGCCUCCGAGUCGAGUCACUCAGUCAGUCGCUGCGGUGAUGCCUGGCGCGGGAAAGGCUGGUCACGCGGGUUAGGAGUGGAUGCGACCCAGUUUGAUUGGCAAUCGAGGCGAGUGACAAGUGGCGUAGCGACCGAAAAAACGAAUGAAUUGGAAGCCUUUCAAUAAAUUCCAGUUUUUCAUUUUC